UUGAGUACUGGAAUGAAUGAUUACACAUUUAAAAUUUUUCUUAAAUUUUUAAAAAUUAUAAUUUAGAGUUAAAGUAAAAAUACUUUAAUAUAUUAAAAAGACGAUAAGACCCUAAAAGCUUUAAAUUAUUUUAAUUUAUAAAUGAUACAAAAUUAAAUUUAAUUUUUUACUGGGGUAGUAAUAUUAUUAAUUUGUUAUUUAAAAAUAUUUAAUUUUAAAUUCCUUAAAAUUAGGWURUAAAUAAGUUACUUUAGGGAUAACAGCGUGAUAGGGUUGAAGAGAACAUAUCUAUARCACUGAUUACGACCUCGAUGUUGAAUUAAUAAAUCUAUUUAAAGCAGUUUUUAAAAAAGAGGGUUUGUUCAACCUUUAAU
rnacentral:rRNA from 1 species